rnacentral:rRNA from 1 species
GCAUAACGCGAAGAACCUUACCUACCCUUGACAUGUCAGAGAUCCCUGAGAGAUUGGGGAGUGCCGCAAGGAAUCUGAACACAGGUGCUGCAUGGCUGUCGUCAGCUCGUGUCGUGAGAUGUUGGGUUAAGUCCCGCAACGAGCGCAACCCUUGUCGUUAAUUGCCAUCAUUUGGUUGGGCACUUUAACGAGACUGCCGGUGACAAACCGGAGGAAGGUGGGGAUGACGUCAAGUCCUCAUGGCCCUUAUGGGUAGGGCUUCACACGUCAUACAAUGGUCGGUACAGAGGGUUGCGAAGCCGCGAGGUGGAGCUAAUCCCAGAAAACCGAUCGUAGUCCGGAUUGGAGGCUGCAACUCGCCUCCAUGAAGUCGGAAUCGCUAGUAAUCGCGGAUCAGCAUGUCGCGGUGAAUACGUU